rnacentral:lncRNA from 1 species
GGCUGGACACCAGGGGACAGACAGACACACAGACAGGAACCGACAAGCAGAAGAGAGAAGCCAGCUUCUGAAAGAAAAGCAGAGAAAGGGACCCAGCGAGGAGAGAGGGAGACCCAACCCACGAGGUCAUUGGGGUCGGAGCGGACGCGGUCCCCGUGCCACCACAGGGCGCCAGUUCUCAGGCUGCCUUCUCAGCUCAAACGAGCGCCCUGCCCGGAGCACGUGGCUGCGCAUCCUGAGCGGAGCGGCGCGUCCACGGGCAGCCGGGGCGGCCCGCGCAUCCCCGCAGGGAACCGAGCGGGUCCCAGCGGCCCCUCCACGAGCACGGCUUCCACCCUGAGCCUGCACGAACAAAACAGGAAAGGCUUGCGACAGAUUGGGAAUUUCACCCCGAUCUCGAUUUCCAAAGGCGGGCAGGCCGACGACAACGUCCCUCAGGCCUCAGCCUCCUGUGACCUCACGCGGCAGCGCCACGCCCUCCGCAAACGCGGCGUGACCCCAGCACCUGCCGCUCCUCAGCUCCAGGGGCACGCCCGCGCUCAGCCGGGUUUAGAGCCGCCAGAGGGAACACCACCCAUCCGCAUUUGGGAGACAAGGCCAGUGAGGAUAAACGCCACCUCCCGCCGCGCUGGCCCGCCCGCCUGGCGAGCAGCUGGCACGCGAGCAGCGCCCCGGGCCUGGGCCUCCCGGCUGAAUUUCCCAGAACCUGGGUCCGCUCCAACUUUUGUCUCUGACCCCAGAUGCAACUAUAAAAGCACUCAGGAUUUAUUCUUCACCAGGACAAGCUCGAGACAUUUGUGUGCUGUCGCUGAAAGGACCAAACACACAUUCCAGAGGAUCCUCUCUGUUCCUGACUUGGUUCUGGGGCUUAACCUUUGUCGUCUUGGAUCUGGUCCUCACAGCCCGCAUUCCACAGGGUCAGGAGGGUCAGCAGGGGAGAGGCAGGGGGCUGACUGGGGUCUGGCACCCAGGACCUCCACUCCCGCCUCUGGCCUUUCAGAGGCUACCCACCCUCGGCUAACAAGACUGGCUUCUGCGGAACGGAGUGUCGGGCCUCCCAGGGGGACAGAAGAGCCCCCAUGGGAUACGCCUCCCCCUAUAGGUCAGGGCUAG